rnacentral:lncRNA from 1 species
AGGGGCCACAAGAAAUGCCCUGUAAGGUCCCAUUGCCUCCCAAGGGCAGCCUGCUGCCCUGCUCCCAGCACACCAUGCUGUGAGGAGAGCUGAAGUGAGUAAACCAGCUCAUAGACCCCACAGCUUAAGCAGCCUUAACCAAGCCCUGCAGCCCAGCUUAGCCCUUUUAAAAUAUUUUGGGGGUGAUGUCAGCACCUGAGCUGCCAACACACUUGUUGCUCUCCUCCCUCAGACUACUUCAGUUCCCACAGCGGCACGGGACACCAGACCGAGUGGGAGAUAGGCAGAAGCCGAGAGAGAAAUUGUAUCAACAGUGUCCCAGAGUCCCAGAAGCAGAACCACUGGGCUCCAUUCACCUUCAUAAGAGCCCGUGACCUGAAGGCUGAGCUCAAGGAAGCUCCCUGCUAAGCCCCUGCAGGCUUCCCCUUGCUCUGCCCGCUGACCUCGGCUCGCCCCGAACGUCCCCCAAAAUGGAGCGAUCCACACAAGAACUUUUCCUCAACUUCAUGAUUGUCCUCAUCACUGUGCUGCUCAUGUGGCUCCUGGUGAAGUCCUAUCAGGAGUAAAGGACGGUCAGAAACUCUCAGAGCUGGUCUGGUUCUCUGUGGGCAAACACCAGUAACACCACCGCACAUCUCUGUUAUGAGCUUUCAGUCAAUUCGGAAUGCCGUGAUCUUUUUUACUCUCUAGUCUCUGUUGCCUGUGCUCAUGUUUGUAAUGGGUCUGUGAUGGUGUAAUUAUUUUAUUCUGCACUGAUCCAGCUGUAAAAUGCAAGAUCCUUAGGAAAUGUUCUAUGUGGCUGUAAGUGCUGUGCCCCUUUGCCCAUGCGCCGGCUUCUUUGGUGUCAGGGCAGGGUAUAACCCCUGCAGCAUGCAGUGGGUCUGUCUGUCAGCCGGCUUAAAAGGUACAGACUUGCUUAGCACAAAGAAAUGUGAAACCCCUGCUUUUGCUUGAUCUUGUUUCACCUCAAUAAAGAACAUGUAAAACCGUUUUUUGUAGCUUUU